CGUAGGAGUCCGAAUGAAGUCUUCCUACUGCUGAAGUCGGGGACAGAAUCCGGCUCCCGUAGGAGUCCGGACGAAGCCUUCCUGCAGUUGGAGUCGGAGACGAAGUCCGGCUCCCGUAGGAGUCCGAACGAAGUCUUCCUGCUGAAGAAGUCGGGGAUGAAGUCCGACUCCCGUAGGAGUCCGGACGAAGUCUUCCUGCUGCUGA
rnacentral:lncRNA from 1 species